rnacentral:rRNA from 1 species
GACGAACGCUGGCGGCGUGCUUAACACAUGCAAGUCGAACGGAAAGGCCCUGCUUUUGUGGGGUGCUCGAGUGGCGAACGGGUGUGUAACACGCGAGUAACCUGCCCUUGACUGUGGGAUAACUUCAGGAAACUGGGGCUAAUACCGGAUAGGAGCUCCUGCUCCAUGGUGUGGGUUGGAAAGUUUCGGCGGUUGGGGAUGGACUCGCGGCUUACCAGCUUGUUGGUGGGGUAGUGGCUUACCAAGGCUUUGACGGGUAGCCGGCCUGAGAGGGUGACCGGCCACAUUGGGCCUGAGGUACGGACCAGAAUCCUACGGGCGGCAGCAGUGGGGAAUAUGGCACAAUGGGCGGAAGCGUGAUGCAGCAACGCCGCGUGCGGGAUGACGGCCUUCGGGUUGUAAACCGCUUUCGACUGUGACGAAGCGUGAGUGACGGUAAUGGGUAAAGAAGCACCGGCUAACUACGUG